rnacentral:rRNA from 1 species
GACGAACGCUGGCGGCGUGCCUAAUACAUGCAAGUUGAGCGCUGAAGGUUGGUACUUGUACCGACUGGAUGAGCAGCGAACGGGUGAGUAACGCGUGGGGAAUCUGCCUUUGAGCGGGGGACAACAUUUGGAAACGAAUGCUAAUACCGCAUAAAAACUUUAAACACAAGUUUAAAGUUUGAAAGAUGCAAUUGCAUCACUCAAAGAUGAUCCCGCGUUGUAUUAGCUAGUUGGUGAGGUAAAGGCUCACCAAGGCGAUGAUACAUAGCCGACCUGAGAGGGUGAUCGGCCACAUUGGGACUGAGACACGGCCCAAACUCCUACGGGAGGCAGCAGUAGGGAAUCUUCGGCAAUGGACGAAAGUCUGACCGAGCAACGCCGCGUGAGUGAAGAAGGUUUUCGGAUCGUAAAACUCUGUUGGUAGAGAAGAACGUUGGUGAGAGUGGAAAGCUCAUCAAGUGACGGUAACUACCCAGAAAGGGACGGCUAACUACGUG